AAUAACCCAGUCCCUAGUAGCUGUAAUUUUGGAGGCGCUCCGUUACCACCAGCAUUGAUCCAAGUAGUGGGACAUGUUGGUAUCAAUACACAAGCACAACUUCUUCCAUCUUAAACACCACCAAUUCAAACGGUUCAAAUGUAUUCGGUGUUGUGCCUUACAACCCGUCUCCAUCGUCGGCCGCCGCUAUCCGAUUAAAACCACCUGGACAGCCGCUUUUCACCGCCGUGACAUGCCU